rnacentral:lncRNA from 1 species
GCAGCUGCUGAGCUGUGCUGGACCACGUCCUCUGGGCAAAGAGCCAUGAAGACCUGUUGUUGCUGCCCUUUGAGCCCUGAGAUGAUCUCCUCCCUUCCUGGAUAGGUUGGGGAGCCCCACAUGAGACUGGAAACAGGGCUGACCCACGUGCGGAGCCCUCAGUGCAAAGUCCUCUCUGCUCCCCAAGCCUGCAAUCCCAGCCGCAGCCCCGGGGCCUGGAAACUCCGGCCGAUUUAUUAAAGCGUCCUCCCUGUCUGCCACCAUCAGGCUAGAAUUGUUCCGAACAAAAGAAGCAUGAAUUGCUGGAAACUAUAUAUUAAAUGCAAGACUAUUUGUCUAGUUUUCAUUGGGUGCUGAGUGAAGAGCCUCAACUCCUCGUAUUCCCAUGGUACUCAGAUGUCCGCGGAGUCCGCUGCUCCUCACACUGUCAUUUCUCUCACUGGGCACAAUCCGGCUUUAAAGAAUCCGACACUUACUGGUCUUUAUGGAACUGUCAGCAGUGACAGCAACCAGGGACACUGCCAUGUCUUGCUGUUUACAAAGGAUGAGCACAACAAGGCAUCUCGAUGACUUGAUAAGCCCUGAGCUCCUCUCUCCCCAACUCUGGCCUCUCUGGACCAGCGGCCUUUGCAUGGCCAGCUAAAGACACAAGAAUUAAAACUUGAUCCAAACACUAACAAGUCUGCAACCACGGCCAUGAAGAUAAAGUAGGGCUGCUCAAGGUUGCUUGGUAAACAGCGAAAACAGAGAAACAGGAGGAUCCUUAUAUGCACAGGUUGUUGUUGAAUAUGAUUCUCAUCUUGGUCUUUCAUCUCUGGCCAACUUUUGGUGACAAUUCCUAACUUCUGGCAAGUCAGUUCAAUGUAAUAAACAUUUAUGAAAUGCCUGUCUUGUUUGAGGCACUGUGCUGGCCCCAGGACCAUUAUUGGAGUGGUUUAGAAGGAGAUGGCAAUGUCUACAAUAAAGAAUACGGAUCAAAUUGGAACAACUCAUUGUAAUAAAGGGAGGUUUGGUAAAUGAACUAUGAUGAGAACUUGAAGAAAAGAAGGUUGAAGGAGAAGACAGUGAGUGGUGAAAUGACAUUUUAACAGGCUUUGCUGGUAGACGCCAUUUCUUUUUUUCAAAGGACAAGUUUGUUACUCAUUCUUUCUGGAUUCCACCAUGAGAAUCAUAGCCUAUUUUGUUUAUAUUUAGAACCCUGAAACAGUCUGACUCCUCAAAGGAAAAGAAGAAAAGCUAGAUCUGCUCUCCAUCGUUUUUGUAUGCAGGUCUAUUCUAUCCCAAUCUCAAGGUGUUUUGAGGUGUAACCUAAGCCUUACUCAAGAUAGAGUCUUCCGUACCUUCCCCUCCUCUGAUUCUACCGUUGAGGUUGAAGCCAUGUGAAAUCCUUUUUAAUGCAUAUAGGAUUCUCAGAGUUACUCACAACUAGCCUUUUGAGAGGUAGAAGUGUAGCCAAAAUGGAUGCUUGGAUU